rnacentral:lncRNA from 1 species
UUUGGAAAACUUUUUUUGACGUUUUGACGUCACGACUAUCACGGUCUAUUCAAAAUCUGUAUAUUGACAUUGACAAUCAAAGUGACAAGUGACAACCGAAAUUUGGCGGCAAAGUAAAGUAUUUGAAACUUGGAAACUUACCUUUAGAAGAUGACAUUCCAGCAGCACUAAUUUUGGAUGCAGCUUCCGAUCCAGUACCAACAAGAUGGUUUAAAAUUAGAUGGUACGCCAAACACUGAAUAGAUGAAAAUGGUUGGGUGAAGUGGCACUCGGACCAUUCCUUUACAAUCAACCAGGCAGCUGAAGCCAAACUUGAUUGACUAAAUGAACCUUCGGCGAACUAGAAAUAACAAUCGAAAUUUAGAUUACUUUCAUUAAUUUUUAUCUUCUUAAUACUGAAACUUUACUAUACAGAUUUGACUAAUUAAAUGGAUGGCAAUUCCUAAA